GGGAUGGAGCAGGCACACAGCCAUCAGGACUGGUGAGCCUCAGCUCCAUCCCAGGAGGGAUACUGGCUUUUCUGCUGCAAGGACACACGUUGGGACAGGGCCUGAAAACCCACCAGUGGCAGUAACAGUGGAUAGUUGUUAUAAAACACACAUGCAAUGUGGCUUUGGUUAAAGCUGUUUCCUGGAGGACUAAAGGAAAGUGGGCAGAAAACAAGGGCAGAUCAGGCACCUUCUGCAAGGUCACAGCAGCUCUUGCAAGGUGGUGGCAAAGGCUCUAUCACUGGGAACUGGGCUCAAAGCUUAAUGCAUCAACUAACAGGGCCUGAUCUCUGUUUGAAUGUCACGACACAGGAGGAAAAAUCCCAUCCAACGCAAGCCAUGAGUGAGAGCAUGAAGCCACAGCCAGACCCAGAUGAGGCUAUUUGUUCUGAAAGAAGUACCAUGUGAAGCAGAAGAAUGACCUACCAAAGCAGGGAAAUUAGAAUGUAGAAGAUGGAUGGAGCUGUAAAUCAGGUCUGCCUCCAAGAGCAGCUAGGAAGAGAGAGGAGGGAGCCAAGCACCGUACCCGCCCUAGGAGCUCCGGUCCCCUGGGAGGGCUGGAAUCCGAUGCCGGCUGGCGCUGGGAACACCCACAUUCAGCUAACCUGACUGCAGCGUUCACUGCAGGAUAAUUGGC